rnacentral:rRNA from 1 species
GUGGGGAAUAUUGGUCAAUGGACGAAAGUCUGAACCAGCCAAGUAGCGUGCAGGAUGACGGCCCUAUGGGUUGUAAACUGCUUUUAUACAGGGAUAAAGUGAGCCACGUGUGGCUUUUUGUAGGUACUGUAUGAAUAAGGACCGGCUAAUUCCGUGCCAGCAGCCGCGGUAAUACGGAAGGUCCGGGCGUUAUCCGGAUUUAUUGGGUUUAAAGGGAGCGCAGGCUGAUGAUUAAGCGUGACGUGAAAUGUAGCCGCUCAACGGCUGAACUGCGUCGCGAACUGGUUAUCUUGAGUGAGUUCGAUGUUGGCGGAAUUCGUGGUGUAGCGGUGAAAUGCUUAGAUAUCACGAAGAACUCCGAUUGCGAAGGCAGCCAACAAGGCCUUUACUGACGCUAAAGCUCGAAGGUGCGGGUAUCGAACAGG